rnacentral:rRNA from 1 species
AAUGAACGCUGGCGGCGCGCCUAAUACAUGCAAGUCGAGCGAGAAGACGUAGCAAUACGUUUGUAAAGCGGCGAACGGGUGAGGAAUACAUGGGUAACCUACCCUCGAGUGGGGAAUAACUAGCCGAAAGGUUAGCUAAUACCGCGUACGCUUCUUGGACUUCGGUUCAGGGAGGAAAGCGAUGCCGAGGGUAUCGCGCUCUUGGAUGGGCUCAUGUCCUAUCAGCUUGUUGGGAGGUAACGGCUCACCAAGGCUUCGACGGGUAGCUGGUCUGAGAGGACGAUCAGCCACACUGGCACUGCGACACGGGCCAGACUCCUACGGGAGGCAGCAGUAAGGAAU